rnacentral:rRNA from 1 species
GACGCUGGCGGCAGGCCUACACAUGCAAGUCGAGCGGUAACAGGAAGUAGCUUGCUACUUCGCUGACGAGCGGCGGACGGGUGAGUAAUGCCUGGGAAUAUGCCUUGAUGUGGGGGAUAACUAUUGGAAACGAUAGCUAAUACCGCAUAAUGCCUACGGGCCAAAGAGGGGGAUCUUCGGACCUCUCGCGUCAAGAUUAGCCCAGGUGGGAUUAGCUAGUUGGUGGGGUAAAGGCUCACCAAGGCGACGAUCCCUAGCUGGUCUGAGAGGAUGAUCAGCCACACUGGAACUGAGACACGGUCCAGACUCCUACGGGAGGCAGCAGUGGGGAAUAUUGCACAAUGGGGGAAACCCUGAUGCAGCCAUGCCGCGUGUAUGAAGAAGGCCUUCGGGUUGUAAAGUCUUUCAGCAGUGAGGAAGGUGGUACUGUUAAUAGCCUAUCAUUUGACGUUAGCUGCAGAAGAACACCGCUACUCCGUGCCACAGCCGCGGUAAUACGGAGGGUGCGAGCGUUAUCGGAAAGCGUUAAUCGAA